UUCUUCGCCGUCUUGAUCUCCAG
rnacentral:siRNA from 1 species